UGAGUGACCGUGCUAUUCACUCAGACGUCUGUCGUAUCUCUGACCUGCUCUUAACAAAAGCCUGAUAACCACAGCAAACGGACUUAUCAUCGGAGGGGUGACCUGCUCGGCGGGCUGCCGGCUUUCCAACGCGCGACGGCCGCAACGCAGAGCGCUUCAGCUGUGUAAAGCUUUUGUGCCAUCUAUAUCAAGGGAGGUUGCAGUGCGAUCGUUUGCAAAAACUGCUCGAUGUGGUUCAGCUAUGAGGUAGCUCCAAGAAACUAUACAGAACAGACCGGCCCAGCCCAGGCUGCCAGAACAGUGCUGACCUACAGCAAAACGCACCAGCUUCAACCCGCCUGCUCCCGGUGGGCCACCUCGUGGGCCUCCUCCUGGAGCAUUAAAGGGAGGACGGCUACAGAAACUGGGAGUCGUGUCACAGGCAGAAACCUAGGCUAAAUUUAAGUAAACCAGACCCAAAUGCUGAGACACAGCAGGCCUGGUCACUCAUUAGCUAUAUUUGAAGACAGUCUGAACCCAAAUUGCUCCAAGGGAAAGAACACUGUGCUCCGGCCUUUGCAAUUAGAUUUGCUCAACACGAGGAACGUGCCCGACCUGACACGAAGCUGGGGUUAUUCCGCGAGUGCCCUGUAAAGCCUUCCCGCUUCCAGGCGGGACCUGGGAAGCGGCGCGCGACGUGCUCUGCUGCCGCUCGCUGGGACCGGACGCCUGCGGCCGAGUUGGUGGCUGCGCAGCAGAGCCCGGACACGCGGCUUUGGUCUGCCCCGACAGCCAGAAAGCAGGGACACGCAAUGGAUUUGUGCUUCGGACACGGCUCCAGGGUACAGGGUGUCUCAACGCUCCCAGUGCGAGGAACACACUGUGCCUUGCCUAAAACGUUACCUGAUACCAUCAGUUUAAGGAGAUAAGAAAUCCUUUGUUAUAAAGAUUAAAGAUAGACUCAGAAUUCCAA